AUUGAACGCUGGCGGCAGGCUUAACACAUGCAAGUCGAGCGGAGAUGAGGUGCUUGCACCUUACCUUAGCGGCGGACGGGUGAGUAAUGCUUAGGAAUCUGCCUAUUAGUGGGGGACAACAUUCCGAAAGGAAUGCUAAUACCGCAUACGCCCUACGGGGGAAAGCAGGGGAUCUUCGGACCUUGCGCUAAUAGAUGAGCCUAAGUCGGAUUAGCUAGUUGGUGGGGUAAAGGCCUACCAAGGCGACGAUCUGUAGCGGGUCUGAGAGGAUGAUCCGCCACACUGGGACUGAGACACGGCCCAGACUCCUACGGGAGGCAGCAGUGGGGAAUAUUGGACAAUGGGGGGAACCCUGAUCCAGCCAUGCCGCGUGUGUGAAGAAGGCCUUUUGGUUGUAAAGCACUUUAAGCGAGGAGGAGGCGCUCUAGGAUAAUACCCUAGAUGCGUGGACGUUACUCGCAGAAUAAGCACCGGCUAACUCUGUGCCAGCAGCCGCGGUAAAAC
rnacentral:rRNA from 1 species